GCGGACUGCAGGCUCAUCCAGCAACGUCACGCAUCAAACCCCUGCGUGCGCAGCUUCUAAUCACGUCAUCGUUGCAGCUCGAUCACGUGAUGAGGGUAAUCUCUUGCUUGCAUAUUGACGGUAAUAGAAAGAACCCAUACGUCAGUUCAUCCAAGCUUUUACCAUUGGGCCCCCUGGAUCGGUAGACAUACAAGAGACUCGCAGAUGAAUUGCUGAAAAAAGGUGUUAAACUAGAAUAUGUUUACUCAAGAAUACAUUCAGGAGCACCGGUCUGAGUUUGUUAACUGAGUGCGGACACUGUGGGACCAGCUACAAGGACUUGGCACCAGGAUAUGCAGCAGUGUGGAGUAGUGGUUAGGGCUCUGGACUCUUGACCGGAGGGUUGUGGGUUCAAUCCCAGGUGGGGGACACUGCUGCUGUACCCUUGAGCAAGGUACUUUACCUAGAUUGCUCCAGUAAAAACCCAACUGUAUAAAUGAGUAAUUGUAUGUAAAAAUAAUGUGAUAUCUUGUAACAAUUGUAAGUCGCCCUGGAUAAGGGCGUCUGCUAAGAAAUAAAUAAUAAUAUGUGAUAUAUUUUUUUAAAAAUAUGUAUAUACUGUGAUUUAAAUAAAGUUUUCCACUUUUAAUUCAA